UACAGAGACUGCAGGCGUUAUUCGGAUUCACUGGGCGUAAAGGGUGCGCAGGCGGCCAAGUGUGUGAGGCGUGAAAGCCCGGGGCUUAACCCCGGAAUUGCACCUCAAACUACAUGGCUAGAGCAUUGGAGAGGGUAGCAGAAUUCAUGGUGUAGCAGUGAAAUGCGUAGAUAUCAUGAGGAAUACCAGAGGCGAAGGCGGCUACCUGGACAAUUGCUGACGCUCAGGCACGAAAGCGUGGGGAGCAAAAGGG
rnacentral:rRNA from 1 species